rnacentral:misc_RNA from 1 species
UCCCUGGCCGAUGUUGUUCGGGGCUAUCUGUGCCGCCGCUGCGGCUUUGAUGACGGCGCUCAAGACUGGCUAUGCUCCGAUCUGGCCGUGCGCGGUGCUGAUCAUCACCANNNNGGCGCGCGCGAUCCAGAUGCGCAAAUACGAGAAGCGCACGACGGUUCUUUCCCCUGAACAGGCCGCCGAUUUCGAGCCGCGCUACAUGCUUGGCGCGAUGCUC